CAUCUCACAAAGUCUGAUUUUUUCAGGGGUUUUCACUUUUUCAUCGUCCUCAUUUUUCCUUGGUGCCGCCAGGUAAGAAGUGCCUUUCGCCUCCUGCCGUGAUUCUGAGGCCUCCCCAGCCAUGUGGAACUCUAUACCUGGUCUGAAAAUGGAGAUCGCAUGCACCUUACUGCACCCCCUUCGCACCCCGUCUCUCCUCUGCGUAAGGAAAUGGCCCAGGAACCUCUGCCUGCAUCAUCUGUGUCCUGCUCUGAGACAGUGCCUGCCUCACUCAUAGACCUUCCCCACUCCCAGGGCUGCUGGAGCCCAGCUCUUGGGCCUUCAUGGGACCAAGCUUCCUCCCUGAAGCCUGGUGCAAAGGAGGUUUUGGUAUCAGAAUGAUGCUGGCCUCAAAAUGGAUAAAGAGUCAAGACCCAUCGGUGUGCGUACUUGGGAGACCCAUCUCACGUGCAAAGACACACAUAGGCUCACAAUAAACGGACGGAGGAAUAUUUACCAAGCAAAUGGAAAGCAAAAAAAAGCAGAUGCUGCCAUCCUAGUCUCUGAUAAAACAGACUUUAAACCAACAAAGAUAAAAAAAGACAAAGAAGGGCAUUACAUAAUGGUAAAGGGAUCAACACAACAAGAAGAGCUAACUAUCCUAAAUAUAUAUGCACCCACUACAGGAGCACCCAGAUUCAUAAAGCAAGUUCUUAGAGACCUACAAAGAUACUUAGGCUUCCACACAAUAAUAGUGGGAGGCUUUAACACCCGACUGUCAAUAUUAGACAGAUCAAGGAGACAGAAAAUUAACAAGGAUAUUCAGGACUUGAACUCAGCUCUGGAUCAAGCGGAUGUAAUAGACAUCUACAGAACUCUCCACCCCAAAUCAACAGAAUAUACAUUCUUCUCAGCACCACAUCACACUUAUUCUAAAAUUGACCACAUAAUUGGAAGUAAAACACUCCUCAGCAAAUGCAAAAUAAUGGAAAUUAUAACAGUCUCUCAGACCACAGUGCAAUCCAAUUAGAACUCAGGAUUAAGAGACUCACUCAAAACCACACAACUACAUGGAAACUGAACAACCUGCUCCUGAAUGACUACUGGGUAAAUAACAAAAUUAAGGCAGAAAUAAAUAAGUUCUUUGAAAACAAUGAGAACAAAGAUACAAAAUACCAGAAUCUCUGCUAAAGCAGUGUUUACAGGGAAAUUUAUAGCACUAAAUGCCCACAGGAGAAAGUGGGAAAGAUCUAUAAUCGACAUCCUAACAUCACAAGUAAAAGAACCAGAGAAGCAAGAGUAAACAAAUUCAAAAGCUAGCAGAAGACAAGAAAUAACUAAGAUCAGAGCAGAACUGAAGAAGAUAGAGACACAAAAAACCCUUCAAAAAAUUGAUGAAUCCAGGAGCUGGUUUCUUGAAAAGAUUAGCAAAAUAGACCGCUAACCAGACUAAUAAAGAAGAAAAGAGAGAAGAAUCAAAUAGACACAAUAAAAAAAUGAUAAAAGGGAUAUCACCAUUUAUCCCACAAAAAUACAAACUACCCUCAGAGAAUACUAUAAAAAAACACCUCUAUGCAAAGAAACUAGAAAAUCUAGAAGAAAUGGAUGAAUUCCUGGACACAUACACCCUCCUGAGACUAAACCAGGAAGAUGUCGAAUCCCUGAGUGGACCAAUAACAAAUUCUGAAAUUGAGGCAGUAAUUAAUAGCCUUCCAACCAAAAAAAGCCCAGGACCAGACGGAUUCACAGUCAAGUUCUACCAGAGGUACAAAGAGGAACUGGUAUCAUUCCAUUUGGUUUUUUUUUUUUUUUCAGACGGAGUCUUGCUCUUGUUGCCCAGGCUGAAGUACAAUGGUACAAUCUUGGCUCACUUCAACCUUCACCUCCCUGGUUCAAGUGAUUCUCCUGCCUCAGCCUCCUGAGUAGCUGGGAUUACAGGCGUGUGCCACCACGCACAGGUAAUUUUUAUAUUUUUAGCAGAGACAAAGUUUCACCAUGUUGGCCAGGCUGGUCUCGAACUUCUGACCUCAAGUGAUCCACCUGCCUCUGCCUCCCAAAGUGCUGGGAUUACAGGCGUGAGCCACCACGACUCACUGGGAAACAGCUUUAUUUCGUCGGUGGCAGAGUUACAGCUCUGUGACUGCUGCUCCCAU